GAUCAGCCAUCUGGUUUGCCUGGGACUCAGAGGUUUCCCAGGGUAUGGGACUUGCAGGGCUUGUAAUGGGAA
rnacentral:miRNA from 1 species